UGUUCAGAAAUAGAUUGUGGUGAUAACUAUAUGAUUGUACUGUGAACAGUUGAUUGUAUACCAUGGAUGAUUGUAUGGCAUGUGAAUAUAUUUCAAUAAAACUGAAUUAACAAAAAAACCCCCAAGUACUGCAUUAUAAACAUUCAAGUCAGCAAUACCUGUGGAGAGACCAACUCACCAUGGCUGAGAAUCAGGUCUCAGUGUCCUCGGGCAAAAAGGACACCGGCAGGUCUCAGCCUCCACUCCAGAAAUUACGGCCAUCAUUGGUGAAAACCACAUCAGCUCAGGCAAGACAGUGAGAAAUCAAAGGCCAGGACCUGGCCCCCCGCAACCCCAGCGGCCUCAGGUACAGCCACUCUUCAUUAAGAUGUCUGUAGGUUCUCAUCUGCUGUCACUCUCCCUCCCCAAGGAGCCCACAUCUACCCACGAUGUGGCCUCGUGGCCCCUCCUUCCUCCCAUCCAUCCUGGAACCCCCAAAGGCCCCAGAAGAGAAGAGAGUCCACCUUCCCCAGACAGCCUGGCACCCUCACAACCCAGCCACACCCUGUAUCCUUUCCCAUACUGUAGACCCGUCAGAGACCACAGAAACCCUUUCCCCAGAAUCCGAGUCCCUGCCUGGACUGCUCAUCAGACAUCAAAGCCAGCCUGUUCUCCCGUGCAAAUGCUGCUGCUCCCUGCACCCUCCAACCACUAGGAGGGUCAUCUGCCCAUCUGCGGAAGUCACCCUACGUUCCCUGACCCGCGCCAACCCCACUGUGCACAGUCAGGGCUGGAGGUAAAGCCACAGGGAGUUGAGCAUGUGGAGGUGGGAGACACCCUUAAUGCUUUGGGGGCCACACCAGUCCCUGUGGGUCUCCCCCGAAGCAGCAGUGCCCAGGAAACUCACAGCACUGACCAACAAAUCCCCAUCCCCACAGGAGGAAUGGCUCUGAUGAAGGAGAAACACCCCCCACCUGAUGUCAGAUGAUACUAACAGAACCCAGAGAGGUUCCUGCUGACCCUGGCACUCGCCUGUGUAACUGGGCAUAAUUAAUUAACCAGUGCUGAUACCAAGGACUAAAUAAACCAAGACCAGGAGACCACACAGCCUGAAUUCCAUGAGUGAACAGUGCAGACGGCCUGAACCAGAGGAAAGAGGCUCAAGUCUGGGAAGUGGCAAAAAGUUGAUUGCAAAGAAACUGGUAUGCUGUGGUAUGAUUCCUGUUUCUUAAAGAUUAAAAGGGAACCAGCAGGAGCUUGGGCAAGAUGGUGGCAUAGAGAGGAGUGGAAGCUAAGUAGUACCCCUGGAACAACUACAAAAAACCAGAAACAACUAGUAAAUAAUCCAGAAUAACCGUGGAGGGACAAACAAGACCGUCCA